GACGAACGCUGGCGGCGUGCUUAACACAUGCAAGUCGAACGGAAAGGCCUGCUUUCCCUUGUGGAUUGCGGGUACUCGAGUGGCGAACGGGUGAGUAACACGUGAGUGAUCUGCCCCCAACUUGGGUAUAAGCCUGGGAAACUGGGUCUAAUUCCCGAUAGGACUGCAGGGUGGUGCGUGUGGUGGUAAACGAUUUUCUAGUGGUUGGGGAUGAGCUCGCGGCCUAUCAGCUUGGUGGUGGGGUAAUGGCCUACCAAGGCGGCGACGGGUAGCCGGCCUGAGAGGGUGGACGGUCACAUUGGGACUAGGAGACGGCCCAGACGCCUACGGGAGGCAGCAGUGGGGAAUAUGGCACAAUGGGCGGAAGCCUGAUGCAGCGACGCCGCGUGGAGGAUGACGGCCUUCGGGUUGUAAACUCCUUUCGACCGAGAGGAAGCCACCUGGUUGGAAGGGUGGUGACGGUAGUGGUAGAAGAAGCACCGGCUAACUACGUG
rnacentral:rRNA from 1 species